AUCCUUCCAACUCCCAGAAUGUAUCCUUUCUUUCCACUUCCAAAGGAUACACUCCCUCCUUGCAGGGCCUUCAGCGAAAUAAAAUCAUUUGUACUUCCAAUCAUGUGAUUUGAGCAGUCGCUAUCCAUGUACUAUUGUUGGUUGCUCCCUUUCACUAUUACCUGCACAAGAAAAUCAAGAGUUAGACUUAGGAACCUAAACAAGUUUAGGUCCCUUGUAAUGAGGAAAGGGGUAAAUGAGAGCUCUUUUGGUCCAAGCAGGCAUCACACGUUUUUUGUAUGAAGGAUCAGGUUUCCUAGCAGUAGUUACUUUUUCAGCAAAAACUUUAUUUUUUUGUUGAGAUUGAAAUCUGGCCUUACAGGUUUCCUUAAAGUGCCAGUGUUACUACAGUGAGUGCAGAGCCAUUUAUCAAGUACAGUAACAUACUUGCUCUGAGGGUUGUAGGGAGUCUUUUUCCUUUGAAACCCGAUUCCCUACCUAUUUCCCCUACUGUUUGUAUACAUGGAAGUGAUUGCAUCAGAGGACCGGGUCUACUUAAGUGAUUUUUCUAGGUCACUCUUCACUUUUCCUAGGUCUUCCUAAAGUUGUCUGUUUUUCUCAAGCUCUGCGCACAGACUAGAUUUCACUGAUUUUAACUCAUCUUCAAGCCUAAUGUGUGCUUCACUUACAACUUCCUUUCCGUUUUGAGUGUUUCUAAGCCUACUUUCCCUUUUUAGUUCCUCAAUUGCUUCCGUUAGGUCUACAACCACCACUAAUAGGUCAUAUCUCUCAUGCUCAAUGUUAGCAACCCUCUUAGCUAAAACUUCUUUCUCCUUUGUUACACACUCAAUGGUCUCUUUUAGAUCGAACACAACAACCACUAGAUCAUCUCUGUCAUGUUCUAUGUUGGCAAUUUUUUCAGUUAAGACAUCUUUUUCUUUCUUUAGACUCUCAAUGGUUUCCUUUAAGUCUACCACCACAACUACUAGAUCAUCUUUCGACUGUUCUACUUCUCCCAGUUCCACAGUGAAUGCAUAUUUAUCAUUUAUAAGACUAUGAUGCACAUCAAUUAAAAUAUUUGCCAAAGACAUAAGUUUUUUUGGAGAAUAAGACUUUAGAUUUCUUUGAACAUCUAAGAAGUUUACCUUAUCAUCAUCAUCGUCAUCUUCAUCAUUGUCAAAUUUUGCCAUAAGGGCAAAGAUUAAGUCAUACUCAGCUGAUUCACUUCCCACUACCUUCAUGGAGUUAUCACCUUGAUCAUCAUCUUCUUCAGAUUCACUGGAAGUGUCCCCCAUGCAGCAAGGGCUAGUUUCACAAUAUUGUUAGCGUCAUCUUUUCUCUUGAAUCGUUUGUCAGAACCUGGUUCCUCUUAGUUGCUUUGUUAGUGUUGUGUUUGUACUGAUAUUUCUUGAGGAGAGGGCAAUCCUUGAUGAAGUGUCCUAGCUUGCCACACUUAUGACAUAGGUCAUACCCUUUUGGCUUGCUGGACCUGCCCCUUUUUGGAAUGCCUAAAUUUCUGUGAACCAUUUUCUGAAACCUUCUUGUCAGGUAGGCCAUAUCAGCAUCCUCACCACCUGAGUCAUUACUAUUUGUCUUGAGGACCAGGUUCUUCUCCCUUUUGGGCUCUCUUCUCUCAUUAUCCUCCUUCUCCUCCUCCUUCUUCUCCUUCUUCUCCUUCUUUUUCUUCUUUUUCUUCUUCUUCUUCUUCUUAUUCAUUUCAUAGGUCUUGAGAUUGCCGACAAGUUCAUCAAUGGUCAGCUCCUGAAGAUCAUUUGCCUCUAUAAUGUCAUUUACUUUGCUUUCCUAGGAAUUAGGUAAUCAACAAAGUAUCUUCCUAACAAGUUUGUUCCUGGGGAUGAUCUCUCCGGUGAGUGAAGCUCAUUGAUGAUAGACGUGAAGCAAGUGUGCAUAUCCUGAAUGGAAUCAUCGUCCUUCAUUUUGAAAAGCUCAUACUCUAUGGUCAGUAUGUUAAUCUUGGACUGCUUUACCUACGUUGUCCCUUCAUGAGUUGUUUGGAGAGCUUCCCAGUUCUCUUUAGCUGAUUGGCAUGUUGAAAUCCUAUUGUACUCAUCAAGGUCCAAUACCACAGACGAGGAUUUUCUUAGCUUGAAAUUUCUUUUCAUUAGCCUUGCGGUCAAUAUCAUUAUAUUCCUUUCUAGUUUUAGGAACUAUCACUACGGGGUCUCUAAUGGUCUUCGUAGGAAUGAAAGGUCCAUCGCAGAUGAUAUCCUAGAGCUUUGAGUCUUCAGCCAUGAUAAAGUCGUGAAUCCUUGUCUUCUACCAUCCAUAGUACUGGCCGUUAAAUCUUGGCGUUCUGUAGGUAGACUGACCUUCUUCUAAGUUUGGAGGAGCAGCCAUGAUGAUCAUUUCUAGGUGUUCACUUGAUAGAAAGAACCCCCUCUAAUACCAAUUGAUAGAAAUUAAGGGUCCACCGAACUAUAUAGAGAACCAGGUUCUCUAUUAGUUCCCACAGAAAAUACACAUACUGUAGUAAGUAAAUGAUACAAUGGAGUUUUACAUGAAAAACUCCUAGUUCACGGGACCAAAAAUUACAGCCUACCCUUGUAGGAUUUCAACUUCACUAUUGAGCAAACUUUAGAUUACAAACUAGUGUAACCUAGGAAUUAACCUCUUAAUCCCUCACUAACUUGUAAAAACACUAUUACAAGCUACUUUGUAAUAAUUCUAUUACAAAGACUUUACAACUCGACUAACUCUAGCCAAGACAUAAAUACAAGGGUUUAUGAUUUACAAAGAUUUCCUACACAAUGCUUAUAACUAAGCUAAGUAGGAAUUAACAAGUAGAGUGCUUUAACAAAGGUACAACACAACUAAGGACAUGUAAUAACUCGAUACAUGGAACUGGUCCGUUGUUUUGUUGUUCUUUGUUCUUGAUGUCCUUGAGAGUCACUUGCAAGAUUGAUAGAUGACUUGAGAGAAUGCUUGAUCAAUUCUUGAAUGUGCACGUGUUUUGUUUUACCUUUGCUUGAUGUUAAUAAUUCAUUUAUGACAUCACUUGAAUGAUGCAAAUAAGUUAGAUAAAUGGCAUUCCCCAUAAAGCUGACUGCUGCACUAUUUUCGCACUGUUGUGUAUGCAGACAAUAACUUUACAGCUGGAAGAGUUGACUUGUAUAGUCACCUCGGGAACUGGUAGCUAUCUGUUCCCUCUGCUAUUCCUUUAACUCUGAAGAGUUGAGCUGUGUCUCCAACUUGAGACUUGUUGAUAUUUAAGUUCUUGAGGAUAUGUAUCAAGUUCCUUGUCUGGUUCUUAAUAGUAAGUUUGUUAGAUCAUAAAAAUAUACCCAAAUAACCUAUCAAUUACGUUCUUUGAAUAUAUUCCGAGCGAUUUUGGUCCUUAAAGUUUUCCUAAACUAAAUAUUUUUAAUUAGCGAGAAACACUAGAUAAGUUUCGUAAAAUCACAAAGACUGUAUGCAACAUCCAAAACUGCAUCAUACACUAGAAAUAAACCAAAAAUAACAAAAAUUAUAUCUUAAAAAAACUUGCCUUAAGGACCAAAAUUGCUCAAGAAUAUAUUUAAAGGCUAUUUGAACUUGCCCCAAAACAUAAGAGACCAUUUUUCUCACUUGCACAAAAGUUCCACCUCCCAAAGGAAAAGGCAGUGGCAGAGCCACAUAGCUCCAAGGGGUUUCAAUUGGCACCCCUUUGCUGGAUAAUUACAUUAUUUAGUGUAAGUAUGUAAUUUUUGACCCGCACGAUUUUUAAGAGUUAUUUUUAGUAUUUGUAGUAUUUUUAGUACCUAUUUGAUUUUAUAGAAUUUUAGUAUAUUUUUAUUUUCAAUUUUAAUUUUUAGACACAAAAAAUGAAAGUACAAAAAAAAUAGUUCAUUACAUAUUUUCUUAUUUCUUUUACUUAAGGCCAUUAGUAUUUUAUUGUAAUAUUUUGAUUUUUACUAUGAUUUCGAUUUAUUUCUUUUCUCUGCCCUUACUUGAAAAUACAAAAACAAAAUAGUUUCAUAUUAUGCUAUAGUUUUACUUUAAUUAAUUGAAUUAAGUUUAAUUUAUUUAAAGGGAAGAAGUUUUAGUUGGUUAGUUUAUCGAUCUUUAGAAUUAAAGAGUUCAAAAUUUGAGCCCAAAUUCGGAUAGCUUAUUCCUCUUAGCCCAAAACUCCCAUAACUCAUAAAUAUAACAAACCCUAAAAUAAAAGACGCCUCUCUUAUUCUCACAAAAGAGAAGACUUGCCGCAACAAACAGAAGAGAGAACGAGAACCUUACCCCUUCUCCAGAAGCCAUCGGCAGUAAUAAGAAAAAGAGGGAGAAAAGGAGCAACGACUCUCUCAUCUCUCUCGAUCAAGGUCAGCGACCGCGCCCCCAUCAUCGGAAAGCAUCCACAAAACUCCCUCCUAUCAAAAACGAGGUCAGCCUCCUCUGUCGUCUCCUCUGUUUGCCAUCUCAACCACCAUAGACGCCACUUAAAGCUCCAAAAUUAGUCCAUAGAAAUCCAGAAACAUCCCUUUCUCAACCCAAAAAAAAAUGCAGCAAACAUAGCCUGCCAAGACCCAUCACAUUCCAACACUAAAAACACUCCAAAAGCACUGCGAAAACCAGUCCAAUCCAGCCCCAAAAUCAGCCAAAAACGAUCAAAACAACAACUCAAAAUUGCUACCAUUCGAGUUUGAGUUCUCAGUCAAGGUUCCUUUAUCGGCGAGGUUUCCGAUCUGAGAUUAGUGAGCUUCCCGGCGAGGUUCUUCGCUUCAUGUCGAGUUCUCCAUUUUGUUUUAGGAUUGUCGUCUGAUUUCUUGUAAAUUCAUUUGGAGUUUUUGGCUAAAUGAAAGUUCUUAUUCUCUAAUAUGCUUCUUAGUUUAUGGUAUUUGCUGC
rnacentral:lncRNA from 1 species